UCAAAAAAGAAAGAAACUACUCACUCAUUCCCCACGCACCGCCGCUCCGGGCUGCCGCCGGUCGACCUCCCGCCGCCCCACGUUGUCCCGCCGCCGCCCGCCGCCCCACCGCUGCCCUGCUUCUCCAGCGCGGCCCCACACCAUUCUGGCCCUCGAGCGCCACCCCACGUCGUCCUGCCUCUUCACCACCGCCCCCACGCCCUCUGCUCUCUCUCCGGGUGGCCGCCUCUCUUCGGCCAGCCCUCGUGCGUGAGCGCCAGCGAGGCUGCCGCCACAAUGCCUUUCCCGACGUCCCCCAUCUCCACCGCUUAGCUCACGAACACAUCAGGCAGCGGCGGCGGCGGCGAUUUGGAUCGGGGCAGUGUGAGGCUGGCCAGGGGCACCGAUGCAUUUGAGGUGCACAGAGGAACACUGGUAAUAUUGAGCCGACGAAGGGAAGCAGCAAAAGGGACCAGUUUGUGUUAUUUGAUCUAUCUACGUAGCAGACUAUUUGCCGGUGAACCAAACGCCACCGUUGUGCAUAAGAAGGCUACAGGGUGAGGCUCAUCUUCAAGAGACCAUCCACCUGACGUGCUUGCUGCAACCACUCAGGAUUCUUGCUCCCAACGACUCAGCUGCCAGCAGCGGCGCAGCGAUCCCCCUUCCGUGCUUGUCACUGCAUCCUCCGCCAGUUGAAUCACAUGAUAACAUACCUUGGUGUCUCAAAAAGACAGUAGGGCACUCGGAACCGUCAUUCUUGGACAUAUCUGGAACCGUCAGUAUCCAUAGCAGAAUAUAGCUCUAGCAACAGUUGUCACUUUGUCAGACAGCUACCCUAUUACAAUCGUGAUCGAUUGCCUACAACAUGGGGGAGCGCAUGAAGAUCAUCCAUGCAGUAUUUGUACUACUUCUUGUAUGCCUCGCUACUCAUGGGCAAUGCAGUGGCUGAGGCCUCCGAGACAAUGACCCUGAUACCUGGUGCAAAAAGAGUGCAAGUAUUCCAAUCUGCAACCCAGGUAGAGAUAGAUGCUACUGCUGUGUAGGAAAUUGGCAAUGCUACAAGACAAUGCAGGAGUGCGAUGAUAAGUGCUCACUUCCACCAUCUUCGGUGGCAAUCCCGUCCUCUUCUUGUAGGCUUCGCUCCCCAUGGGCAAUGGCACGAGUUUUCGGGUAGAUAUACAGUAGAUGGAUGGAACACAUGGAAUAUCUACCAGAAGACGGUGGUACACCUCCAGGCAUGUAGAAAGUUAUGGUAGUUAUUUUCUUCAUCAUGGCAACUUUGUGUCUGUUAGUAUAUACAUGUAAUCCUUGAUAUGUGGUGCUUCUAUUAUGUAGAUCAUGGCAAUUUCCUGUAUUUAGCUAUAUAUAUGAAGUUCAUGUAUGUCUGGCACUUCUAUGGCAACCUUUUGCGUAUCAAGUCAUAUAUAUAAUUUGUAGGAUAUGUGGCAGUUUUAUUAUAAGGAGAAUAAUAACUCUCUCUCUUUC